UGGCCCCUCGUCCAAUGGCAGGACUCCGGACUUUGGAUCCGGUAAUGAAGGUUCGAAUCCUUCGGGGCCAA
rnacentral:tRNA from 1 species